GACGAACGCUGGCGGCGUGCCUAACACAUGCAAGUCGAACGGAAAGGCCCUGCUUUUGUGGGGUGCUCGAGUGGCGAACGGGCGUGUAACACGUGAGUAACCUGCCCCUUACUCUGGGAUAACUUCAGGAAACUGGGGCUAAUACCGGCUAGGAGCUCCUGCUGCAUGGUGGGGGUUGGAAAGUCUCGGCGGGUGGGGAUAGGCUCGCGGCUUAUCAGCUCGUUGGUGGGGUAGUGGCUUACCACGGCUUUGACGGGUCGCCGGCCUGAGAGGGUGACCGGCCACAUAGUGACUGAGAUACAGCGCCGACUCCUACGGGGGGCAGCAGUGGGGAAUAUUGCACAAUGGGCGGAAGCCUGAUACAGCGACGCCGCGUGCGGGAUGACGGCCUUCGGGUUGUAAACCGCUUUCGCCUGUGACGAAGCGAGAGUGACGGUAAUGGGUAAAGAAGCACCGGCUAACUACGUG
rnacentral:rRNA from 1 species